rnacentral:lncRNA from 1 species
CAUUUUAUACAGUUGUAUAUGUUCUGCUUGUGUCUUAUGAUUCCUAUCUGCAUUAAAAAAUUAUCUUUGGGGACUUUAGUAUUGUUAAAACCCGCCUUUCUAUAUUUAGAUUUUGUUAAGCUGUCACAUUCUAUGAUAAGAUCAUUAGAGAAGUAUUUGAAUAAUGAUGGUGUAUGUGUGGUAAUCUUCUCUAAAAACACGCUUGCCUGCUCCUAGCUUUCAGUUCUC